ACAGACACCGAGUCAGGUACUGUUUGAUUCAGAGACGUCUUCAGUUUCUAACUCUGCGUCUCCGGCUGUCGUUGCUGUGAACAAAAGGAGGUGGGCGGUGCAAGGCACAAAACUGCAUUGCACCAAUCAGCAGUAAACAUGCUCCUAAUAACUGAGCCAUCUCAAGAGGCCUGAGCUAACUGGAAUGAUGCUUGCCUGGCUGAUCUCUCUGCUGAGUAUGGAAUUACUACUUCUAGCAAACCCCUACGUGAGUUUCAAGAUUGAACCUGCAGAAGGAAGCCUUGCAGGGGGAACAUGGAUC